GUGCUUGCUUCAGCAGCACAUAUACUAAAAUUGGAAUGGUACAGAGAAGAUAAGCAUGGCCCCGGUGCAAGGAUGACAUGCAAAUUCAAGGAUGACAUGCAAAUUUGU
ensembl:snRNA U6 U6 spliceosomal RNA